UUCAUUUUUUCAUUUGUAGCUUGCUUUGUUCUGUGGCAUGAAUGUUAGUUGAGAACUUCAGUAAAGGGAAAAUGACAAAGUUUGAUGACUGGAAUAAAACGUACAGCCUAAAAAAAUGAUCAGCAGCUCCAAAAGAGUAGAUCGGAAGGUUUUCUUAGUGGGAUAGCAAAAGCCGAUAAUUUUUCAGUAGACUGUUACAAUACAGAAAGGCAGUGGAGGACUCAAGUUUAAUCCUGUAGAUGGUGCUGUAAGAUUCGCUGGGUACACUAGGGGUGUCUUCAUGAGGGAAGUGUUUUCAAACUGUGAGUACUAGUCUAUGUAGUAUUUCAACUGUAGAGCUUUCUUCACGUAUUUUUUGGGUUUACAUCAGGUGAAAGUUAAACAAAUGUGUUUGGGAAUAUAAAACUAGCAAAGAGGUUGAAGUAGCUGUUGGUAAGAAUUAGAAAUGCUCUUUUCCUCUUAAUCCUUUUCAAAAAUGG